rnacentral:snoRNA from 1 species
GGGUCAGUGAUGAGAACGCAUUGUCUUGAAGAGAAAUGGUGACCAAAGUAACGUUCAGUAACGUUCAGUGUGAGUGAUCUGAGGCCC